rnacentral:lncRNA from 1 species
GCCGUUCAUUUCGUUUUAAUCUGGGCCGUUCGUUUUUGAUUGAAUCUGGGCCGUCCGUGCGUUUGAAUCUGGGCCGUCCGAUCGCGCGAUUGAUCUGGGCCGUCGGAUCGCACCCACGCGGAUCGCCAACGUGGCUCCUUUCGGAGUGACGCGAUCUUGCCACGUGGCAGGCCCUGGUUGGCCGGGUGCUGACCGGGCCUGCUGACGUGGCUGCUGACGUGGCCCCCCC